UACGUAGGGUGCGAGCGUUGCCCGGAUUUAUUGGGCGUAAAGGGCGCGCAGGCAGCUACGCACGUCCGUUGUGAAAUCGCUCGGCUCAACUGGGCGGGGUCAGCGGAUACGGCGUAGCUGGAGCAAGCUAGGGGGCAAUGGAAUUCCCGGUGUAGUGGUGGAAUGCGUAGAUAUCGGGAGGAACACCAGUGGCGAAGGCGGUUGCCUGGAGCUUUGCUGACGCUGAUGCGCGAAAGCCAGGGGAGCAAACGGG
rnacentral:rRNA from 1 species